rfam:Nematostella vectensis strain CH2 x CH6 NEMVEscaffold_26_Cont4682, whole genome shotgun sequence.
CAAUUAAUUUUAAAAAGGGACGAAUGGCAAACUAGGAUGCAUUAAUAAGACGGAAAAUCUGAAAAAUCGAGGGAGAAGCUUUGAACUCGAUUAUCUCAGGCGGAAACGCUGAAAAAGUAAGCUGGAAACUGAAACAUCUAAGUACCAGUAUAUAAAAGAAAUCAAACGAGACUCCGUGAGUAGCGGCGAGCGAACGCGGAAAAGUCCCACGAGUAAAUAGUGGAAGAUAGGUGUACACACAUCUAAGACUAAAUAUUAAUGCAUACCGAAAGAGAGAGUACUGUGAAGGAAAGUUGAAAGAGACUUGAAAAGAUCUUAAAAUGAGUCCCUUAAAGCAGUUGUAACACAACGUACCUUUUGUAUAAUGNGUUCACAAGACAAAAUUUGGCAAACUUAAGUGUUAAACGAAGGUGUAGUGAAACCAAGGGAAUACAUCCCUUGUAGUCAAAUUACCCGAAACCAAGUGACCUAGCCCCGGGCAGUUCA